GGGGAGCAAGCUCCAUGCGUCAGUUCCCGCCAAAUUGUAGCUCUUUCGAGCGAGGACGUGCGGUGCUGAAACACUGCACAGAGACGGGCAAGCACUCAGACUCAGAGGCAUUUCGUUUGCCUUGAUCCUGGAGGCGGCCUUCUCCCAUUGCCGAGGAUUUGAAGCGAACUCCUGGCAGAUCAGAAAUGUUCAGGCGAACGGCGGUUAUAUUUGUCCGUGGACCCAAAACUUCGUCGACGGGCAAAUAUGUCAGAUUUUCUUGUUUUUUAUUUGUGGCAUCUUAUUGUAAGACCGUGACAUAUUUUGCCGUUUUCUCUAGGGAACCCUGCAACAAGGACUGUAGUGUGAAUAGCGUGCUGCGCUGCUCUCGCCAACUGAAAAGAACUCUGGUGUGCUGUAAAUGCCGACUGCACAAUAUGUGACUGGCCCGCGGCUGCUUUGAAGGUAAGAUUGUGUUCUCAUUAAUCUAUUUAUUGUAUCAUUUGUUUUCCAGUGACAUAGCCAACAACGAAAACCUCGAUCCAUCCUCUCUCCACAUAUUAUCUAGUCUGUGCGCUGUGGAGCUUGAAGCACUUCUCGGAAUUUCAGCACACUCGC